ACAGGUGGAGAACCUGAAACUCAGAAAGAUUACAUAUUGCUUGUGGUGGUGGUGGUUGUUUUUUCUUACAAGAUCACACAGCAAGUAGAAGGCCAAGGUGACUCUUUGUCUGGAGCACAGUGCAAGAUUCGUGGUUCCUAGAAGUAUCUGCAGAGUCAACCUGGCUCUUCAAAGACAAAAGGAGACCUGGAGCUAAACAGAAGUUCUGCAGAGGUUACAUGAUGUAUGAAGGAACAGAUUGAAUGCAAAGGAGACGUAAGAAUCCAGUUGUCUGCUCUUUAGCCAGACAUUAAAGAAAUCUGCAAAAACGCAGGAAACUUCGUGUUGACAUGGUGGGGCCACCCAAUUGAAGCGAACGCACUAUUGAGCAACACAGAAGUGUCACUCAGGCCUGCACUAGAAUCUGCAUGAAUGGACACAUCAACCCUUUCCCUCGUGGAGUUUUGGGAGUUUUUCUUCUUGCACUGUACUCUGUUGGAAAUACUAAUGCAUCCACUAAUGCAUCUCCCAGGGGCACUGGCACUGAAGAAGAGGGGCAUGCUGAUUUCCAUGGAUCUCUGAUUUGUGGAUCAAUAGUUUUGAGCAGUAGGUUCCUCCUUGUGUAUAAUACCUUUUUGUCCUCCUCUACAUAGAGCAUAAUAAAAAUGUCAACCACAUCUGUAUGUCAAAAUAAAAAUAGCCAAAGUUUUGA